AUUUAUCGGAGAGUUUGAUCCUGGCUCAGGACGAACGCUGGCGGCGUGCCUAAUACAUGCAAGUCGAGCGAACAGAUGGGAGCUUGCUCCCUGAUGUUAGCGGCGGACGGGUGAGUAACACGUGGGUAACCUGCCUGUAAGACUGGGA
rnacentral:rRNA from 1 species